rnacentral:rRNA from 1 species
CGCCUCUUGAAUAAAAAUAAGAGGUCCAGCCUGCCCAGUGACAAAUGUUCAACGGCCGCGGUAUCCUAACCGUGCGAAGGUAGCGUAAUCACUUGUUCUUUAAAUGUGGACUAGUAUGAACGGCACCACGAGGGUUAUACUGUCUCCUUUCUCCAAUCAGUGAAACUAAUCUCCCCGUGAAGAAGCGGGGAUACAAAUAUAAGACGAGAAGACCCUAUGGAGCUUAAAAGUUUACUUCAAACGCUAAACCACUGCAAAGUCAUAGACUACCACAAGAAGCCACGCGCCAUGAAAACAACUUUUAGGUUGGGGUGACCAUGGAGCACAAAACAACCUCCACGCUGAACAGGCCUCCAAGCCUCGAGCCAAGGGCCACAACCCGCCGCACUAAAAAAUUAACAUCCAUUGAUCCAAUGAAUUUUGAUCAACGAACCAAGUUACCCUAGGGAUAACAGCGCAAUCUACUUCAAGAGUUCCUAUCGACAAGUGGGUUUACGACCUCGAUGUUGGAUCAGGGUGUCCCAGUGGUGCAGCCGCUACUAAUGGUUCGUUUGUUCAACGAUUAAAACCC